rnacentral:tRNA from 1 species
GUCCCUUUCGUCUAGUGGUUAGGACAUCGUCUUUUCAUGUCGAAGACAUGGGUUCAAUUCUCGUAGGGGAUA